GAGCAGCGUUUCUUUUUUUUUAUUAUUAUUACAAGAAAUGGGAGUUGGAGGUACAUUGGAGUACUUGUCUGAUCUAAUGGGCAGUGGCCACCACCACCACAA